UCAACUGUUUGGCAAACAUGCUUUCAUACACGCACAUUCACCGCAGAGACAGCUGCCUGAAAUAGGAAAGGCCCUUUGAAAAAGAAGUGAAGGCUGGGCACAGUGGCUCACUCCUACAAUCCCAGCACUUUGGGAGGCCAAGGCAGAUGGAUCACGAGGUCAAGAGACCAAGACUAUCCUGGUCAACAUGGUGAAACCCCGUCUUUACUAAAAAUAUAAAAAUUAGCUGGGCGUGGUGGCACACCCUGUAGUCCCAGCUACUCAGGAGGCUGAGGCCGGAGAAUUGCUUGAAACUGGGAAGCAGAGGUUGCAGUGAGCUGAGAUUGCGCCACUGCACUCCAGCCUGGGUAACAAGAGCGAAACUCCAUCUCAAAAAAAAGAAAUCAAAUGCAUUGAGCCACUCAACAUUUGCCAUUUUUCAAUUCCGACUUGGAAGCCUGGAUGACUUUAACAUAUAGAAAUUACAUUUGCCAGUGAUUGCACUAGAACGUUGUUCUUUGAACAGAAAGACCCUGACAGCCGAUUUAUACCUCUAAUUUAGAGAAUGAAGAAGUUGAGGAUCAAGAGAAGUGAAGAGAUUUAGCUCAGGUUGAGCAACUGCAUGAGUGGCCAGUGAGGGACUGGGACCCAGCUGUUCUGAGAGCUCCUUGGAUAGGUGUGUGAGGGAAACACAAAAUACAGAAACUGUAGUAGUAAAGACUCCUCCUUACCUGUGUCAUGAGACCCAGUUCUGCAGUGAGUGUUUAGUUGUUUAGCUGGAUUGAAGCUGCCUUUUGUGGCUGGCCACCACCUCCCACCCCGUUACCUUCAUCUUAAAACACACACGUGUGCUCUUGGGUCAUAUAACAUUUCUCAAGUUUUCAUUUGAGUUUAAGGUUGGACUACAUCCAGGCUAAACAUAAAGGAAACCUCAAGGCCAGCCCUCCCCUCCACAUGGCCCCUGCCAAGUUCCCUCUGGUUUUAGCAUAGAUGGGGAACCAACAUGACCUCAUGGCUCAAGACUCCAACCCCGGACAGGCUUGGUCUCGCCUCCUCUCUGCACUCUACUUGGGAAGUCACUUUGGCAUCCACAGUCAGAUGUCACCUGGGGUCACAGUCGCCUGUAUGCGGUGGAAAGUUCUAAGCAGUUGCAGUUGCUUUUGUGAUAUGCCAGUUGACUUGAAGACAGAAGUCCAAAACCCAACAGGAAGAUGGAAUGACUGGGAAGUAGGGGAAAAAACAGAAAAGCACAGUGGUGCUCUCCUGCGAAUGCAGCAUCUGUCCCACCUCCACGCAGUCAAGCAAAGCAGAGGGCAUGUGAACCGAAAAAUUUAAGGUUCAGGUGUGCCCAAGCAGCAGCUGUAUCUGUUUAUCAGAGGGUUGCCCUCGAUCCAGAGAUAUUUUGAUAAUGCAGUAAUGAAGAUUGGCUUCCUUCUAGAAAUGACAGUCCUUAACCAGUGAAUGACAGGUGAGAGGGAGGGGUAAAUACUCCAGCAGCUUCCUUGCUCCUUGGCCAGGACAGCAGUGACAGUAUGUAGGAAGAUCUGGAGAGAGGGUGAGUCACAUCUCAGCGUUUCCUUUCUUGGGGGGUUGCUCAAUGUUGUACCCUGUCCCAGCAUCCUCCUUUCCUUGUGAGGCCCACUUCUCAAACCCCUAACCAGUUUUUCCUGGGAAUAUUCCUUAAAUGAAUCCCUCAGGCUCUGCUUCUGAGGAGUCCAACCUCAAACAACACAACACUCAAGUGGCAGCAUUUGUCCCAACUCCCAGCAUCAACCCAGCAUCCCCUCAGCUUAGAUGAUUUCUCAAUGUUUUGAAGUUCAGGCUUCCUGGGUCAUUUCAUAAAGAUUCUCAGAGUGAAAGAAUUCAUAAUCCUGUCACAAACGCAUAAUAGGCAACUGUUUUUCCACUCUAAAGAGUCUUUUGAAAGAUCCCAGCUCAAAGUCAGUACCAAGGCCCUAAGGGAAAUUCUGCUUCCUCAGUUUUAAUUCAGAACAACCUAGGCCUUGGCCAAAGCUUCCAAUCAAGACACCCACAAAUCACAUGGUGCUUUCCUCUCCCUGUAGCCCAGCAAAUAUCAAAGCCAACUGGGGCUUUAUAUAGCAUCCACCAACUUUGGAUAACUUUUCAAAAAUGGUUUUAGUUUCUUUCUCAUUGUCUCCCCAGAGUCUGAUAAUUCUGGGAAGAGGCCUGUAGAUUGUCACCUGGGGAGUCCAGCAGAAAACCAAUCCUGCAACUCCAGAAAGCUGGACAGGCGCUUCAAAAAGCCCACUUUUUCCUAUACUGGGAGUGGUCAGCUCUCUCCUUCCUCCAGGCCCUUGGAGCCUUGGGACUGUCUC
rnacentral:lncRNA from 13 species